GCCAUUAACUGGGAUGUGGAGGUUGCUUGGAAACAGCAGCCUGGCACUGGGGUGAUCUCAUAAAACAAAUAGCAGAGAUGCUAAUUCCCUUCUCUCAGUAAUGGAGACCAGCUGAAAAUAAACCACCUCCAGAUGCCUGGGCUGCCCAGCUCCUCCCCGGCCCUCCCAGGCCUGCAGCCCCAGGGGCCACGGAGAGCCCUUCAUGCUGCUGGGGGAGGGGAGGGGGAUAGCAAAUUCACCACCCGGCGCCUGUGGAGCUGAAUGGGGGACACUGGUGACAGAAGGGUCCGAGUGACAGAGAUACAAGUGGGACAGCAUUUCCACUAUGUGCUGGCCUAGGUACCCCCGCCCUCCUCUCGUUUGUUCUCUGAUGAGGCCAAGGAGAGGCUGUCCCCCAAGCCAAUCCGCUCAGGCUCCUGGGACCCGGCCGGGAGUGAUGACUGGGGUCCCCAGGAGGGAAUCAUUCACAGACCGAUCUGACCGCUUCAUUUCAGAGGCAGCACCGUGGUGAGGCAAAUGCCCAGUGUUUCAAGGGAGCAGUCCCUGCCUGCCCACUGGCACUGUCAGCCCCUCUGUCCGCUGAGGGACAGGCAACCUGAAGCCCAGCAGGAUCCAGUGGAGAGACAAAUCACCACAGAGUCCCAGAACCUCUACUCCUUGCUCCUGCCUGGGUGCUGUCCCUACGCAGAGGGGGAAAAAAAGCACAUAGGGUGGGAACAGCCCUGGGAAGAUGAAGGGUCAGGACUUCUCAGAAGCUGCUGGGGAAGUACCCAUCAGCCACCCCAGCAAAGACAAGACCCAAAUGCUCUGCUUCCUCCUGAACUUCCCACUCUGUCUACAAAAAGGGAAGCAAUGGGUGCUCACCAACAGCGAGUCACAUGGAUAGGGCCUAUGCUCAGGACGUCAGAGGGUUCUCAGGACAAGGCUGGAGCCCUUUGGUCUUGGGCUUGACUUCACUGGGGUUGGCGGGGGGCAGGGAAAGUGCUGGGCGUGUGGGAGCCCCGGCUGGCCAGAGACCCUUGAAGGAAGUUACUUUUAUCUGGUGAAGCCCUGAAACCAGGCCUCAGGUCCAGAUGGCUAAAAGGCAAAAGCAACCCAACACUGAACUUGCCUCCAACACUGUU